AUUCAUUUGGAGGGAAUCAAAUUUAAUUUGGAUUAAUUUAAUUUUCUAGUUAAUCAUCUCUAAUUAUUUAUUCAGAAUUUAACCAAUAAUAUUAAUUGUAACAGCUUUUGUCUAUUUGUGUUCGUGUUUCGUGCCUUUAACCUUCGAUGACUUGAUUCAAUUUGUGGAUCUCUUAAUGAACAUCUUGUUUAUCAUCGAUAUUUUAAUGAAUGCUGACGUUAACCCGAUGUGCGGCUCAAUCGGGCUGGAGAUGGACAGAUUUCUAUGGAGUCUAUGGUUGAAUUGAGAGAUUGGAAGGCAAAGAAAGAAAAAAAUUCCACUAAAAGAACAAAUAAUCUGGGAAAUCUUCUUAAAGGAAAUGUUAAUUUCAAGAUUACCAUGAUAAAGGAAGAAGCGGAUGUAUAAAGAUGGAAAAGAAUAUAAAUAAUACAUGAUAAUAUUGAUGAAACUUGA